GGCUUGGCUGGGCGGUCCGCUUAACGGCGUGUACUGUCUGGCUGGGUCUUACCUCUUGGUGAACUGGCGUGUCCUUUAUUGGAUGCGUUAGGGAACCAGGACUUUUACCUUGAGAAAAUUAGAGUGUUCAAAGCAGGCCUAUGUCUGAAUACAUUAGCAUGGAAUAAUAAAAUAGGACGUGUGGUUCUAUUUUGUUGGUUUCUAGAAUCGCCGUA
rnacentral:rRNA from 1 species